GGCUGGUCUGAAGGUAGCAGGUUAUCUCAAUUGAUUGUUCAUAGUCAGUUAUAGAGCAAACUGCUUGCUCUACUCUUUCACCCCUUCUCACUACUGCACUUGACUAGUUGAUA
ensembl:misc_RNA Y_RNA Y RNA